UGUCACUCACGGUUACCUCGCUGCUGCUGGGACUGCAAAGUCAAAGUUAAAAACGAGGGGAUGAUUCACAGCCUGGAUGGAUGAGGACUGAGGGUUCUGCCGGGUGUUUCUCAGCUCUGGCUCCUCCAGCAUCCCCAGCCAAGGUGUUCAUCAAUGAUGAAAUGAUGAAACCGGAGCCAAAUCCCUUGAAAGGAAACAGAUGACCUCUUCUGCUGGGAACUGCUCUGGUCCCUCCAUUAACUUGAUCAUCACCAGAGUGCUGCCCAGAGGAAAAGCAACAAGAACAUCCAUGUCCCUGCUGUUGCCACUACUGCUGCAAGAAGAGGUGGCCUGGCAGUCAUCCCUCCCUGGGGAGCUCUGGGUACUCCUUGUAGAAGAGUGGCAGCACGAAUUCUGCUCAGUGGACACUUUGUCCCCGCUCUGCCUUGUAUCAGCCUGCCUCACCUCAGAACACCUCUCUGCUCAGGGCUGUUUCUGCCACAUUCCCAAACAGCCCAGGCUGAGCAAUGGUUUGGG
rnacentral:lncRNA from 1 species